CAGCCGCCGCGGUAAUACAGAUGGUGCAAGCGUUAAUCGGAUUUACUGGGCGUAAAGGGCGCGUAGGUGGUUAUUUAAGUGAGAUGUGAAAGCCCCGGGCUUAACCUGGGAACUGCAUCUUAUACUGGGUAACUGGAGUGCAGUAGAGGGUAGUGGAAUUUCCGGUGUAGCGGUGAAAUGCGUAGAUAUCGGAAGGAACACCAGUGGCGAAGGCGGCUACCUGGACUGAGACUGACACUGAGGCGCGAGAGCGUGGGGAGCAAACAGGAUUAGAUACCCGGGUAGUCCCUGUCUCUUAUAC
rnacentral:rRNA from 1 species